rnacentral:misc_RNA from 1 species
GUGAAUCAUCGAAUUUUUGAACGCAAAUUGCACUCUCCUCUGAGAGUAUGCCUGUUUGAGGGUCAGCCUAUAAAAAAUCGACAUCGUUGCUGUUUCGCGGUGGCGUUCGUCUGAAAUUGGGUCAUCUUAAAUCUUUUGGUUUUAAGCGACUUAAAAUUUUCUUUUUGGUUCAUUGAACGUUUCUAGAAUUAAUUCUUUUACACGUUUAUGGUGUCUAUUUUUGUAAAACGUGACCACAAAC